GUGGAUGUGGUUCAGUGGAAGAAUACCGGUUCACCCGUCCGGUGACAUGGGUUCGAUUCCCGUCAUCCGCU
rnacentral:tRNA from 1 species